UACGGGGGGGAGCAAGCGUUGUUCGGAUUUACUGGGCGUAAAGGGCGCGUAGGCGGUCAGCACAAGUCAGUUGUGAAAUCUCCGGGCUUAACUCGGAAAGGUCAACUGAUACUGUGCGACUAGAGUGCGGAAGGGGCAACUGGAAUUCUCGGUGUAGCGGUGAAAUGCGUAGAUAUCGAGAGGAACACCUGCGGCGAAGGCGGGUUGCUGGGCCGACACUGACGCUGAGGCACGAAGGCCAGGGGAGCAAACGGG
rnacentral:rRNA from 1 species